AGCGAACGCUGGCGGCAGGCCUAACACAUGCAAGUCGAACGGAUCCUUCGGGAUUAGUGGCGGACGGGUGAGUAACACGUGGGAACGUGCCCUUUGGUUCGGAACAACUCAGGGAAACUUGAGCUAAUACCGGAUGUGCCCUUCGGGGGAAAGAUUUAUCGCCAUUGGAGCGGCCCGCGUCUGAUUAGCUAGUUGGUGAGGUGACGGCCCACCAAGGCGACGAUCAGUAGCUGGUCUGAGAGGAUGAUCAGCCACACUGGGACUGAGACACGGCCCAGACUCCUACGGGAGGCAGCAGUGGGGAAUCUUGCGCAAUGGGCGAAAGCCUGACGCAGCCAUGCCGCGUGAAUGAUGAAGGUCUUAGGAUUGUAAAAUUCUUUCAGCGGGGACGAUAAUGACGGUACCCGCAGAAGAAGCUCCGGCUAACUUCGUG
rnacentral:rRNA from 1 species